AUUGAACGCUGGCGGCAGGCUUAACACAUGCAAGUCGAGCGGGGGAAGGUAGCUUGCUACCGGACCUAGCGGCGGACGGGUGAGUAAUGCUUAGGAAUCUGCCUAUUAGUGGGGGACAACAUCUCGAAAGGGAUGCUAAUACCGCAUACGUCCUACGGGAGAAAGCAGGGGAUCUUCGGACCUUGCGCUAAUAGAUGAGCCUAAGUCGGAUUAGCUAGGUGGUGGGGUAAAGGCCUACCAAGGCGACGAUCUGUAGCGGGUCUGAGAGGAUGAUCCGGCACACUGGGACUGAGACACGGCGCAGACUCCUACGGGAGGCAGCAGUGGGGAAUAUUGGACAAUGGGGGGAACCCUGAUCCAGCCAUGCCGCGUGUGUGAAGAAGGCCUUAUGGUUGUAAAGCACUUUAAGCGAGGAGGAGGCUACUUUAGUUAAUACCUAGAGAUAGUGGACGUUACUCGCAGAAUAAGCACCGGCUAACUCGGUGCCAGCCGCCGCCGUAA
rnacentral:rRNA from 1 species